rnacentral:rRNA from 1 species
UGGCGGACGGGUGAGUAAUGUCUGGGAAACUGCCCGAUGGAGGGGGAUAACUACUGGAAACGGUAGCUAAUACCGCAUAACGUCGCAAGACCAAAGAGGGGACCUUCGGGCCUCUUGCCAUCGGAUGUGCCCAGAUGGGAUUAGCUAGUAGGUGGGGUAACGGCUCACCUAGGCGACGAUCCCUAGCUGGUCUGAGAGGAUGACCGGCCACACUGGAACUGAGACACGGUCCAG